AGCCAGGAUCGUCUCAAUCUCUUGACCUCGUGAUCCACCCACCUCGGCCUCCCAAAGUACUGGGAUUACAGGCGUGAGCCACCAUGCCUGGCCUAAAGUAGGUUCCUUUACAGUAGGACUUUUCAGCUCUUCCAAUAUUAAUAUAUAUAUUAUAAAUAUCUGAGAAAGAAUAUAGUAUGGAGAAUCUGAGAAUGAAUAUCAAGGAAACUUCUCAUAGUAUCUUACAGGAUGGUGUUUCAUGAGACAUUGUGGGAAAUAAUGCUCUCACUAACCUUGUAAAAAACCCUUAUCUUUAAACAUUUCUUGGUUCAAUGAUCAUCUAGUAAUAAGAUAUAGAAGGAACAGGAUGGGGUCGGGCGCAGUGGCUCACGCCUGUAAUCCCAGCACUUUGGGAGGCUGAGGAGGGCAGAUCACCUGAGGUUGGGAGUUUGAGACCAGCCUGGCCAACAUGGAGAAACCCCGUCUGUACUAAAAAUACAAAAAACAAACAAACAAACAAAAAAAUUUAGCCGGGCAUGGUGGUGCGUGCCUGUAAUUCCAGUUACUCAGGAGGCUGAAGCAGGAGAAUUGCUUGAACCCGGGAGGCGGAAGUUGCAGUGAGCUGAGAUUGCACCAUUGCACUCCAGCCUUGGCGGCAAGAGCAAAACUCCAUCUCAAAAAAAAAAGAAAAAGAGAAAAAAGAUAUAGAAGGAACAAAUGACUACUUGGUUACCAACUAUUUUAGUUGUAUUUUGUAUAGUACUAUAUUAUAAAUCUAUGUUCACAUCUAACACAGGCAUGAGUGGAAGGCAGGCAUACAACAUCCUCUUAAACACUUCUAUUAAUGGAGUAUUCAGCACAUCACAAAGUAGCUUUAUGGAUAGCUUGGCUUCUGAAUUUUUUUAAACUAUUAAGUAACAUUAAUAAUUUCCUUUAUUCUAUGUGCACAGAACACCGGCAAUAAAGAUUUCAUUCAUUUACUCAAAAAUAUUUACUGGUUGCCUUUUUGGGGACAGGUACUUUAUGACUUUAUGACAUAGUUACAAUGGUAAAGUAACAAAAUUUCAUUUCAUACCAUCAAGUGUUUAAAAUUAAAAUAAGUAUUUUAGAUGUAGAUAAAUAUGUUUUUCUAAAAAUCACCAAACAGGAUAUAAGUAAUUUAUUUGAUCAUGGCAUUUUAUCACAUACUAUAACAAGAUCUAUUUAUCACAUACUAUAACAAGAUCUAUUCCCAGUAUCUAGAAAGCAAGCCAACGGGCCGGGCGCAGUGGCUCACGUCUGUAAUCCGAGCACUUUGGGAGGCCGAGGUAGGUAGAUUAUGAGCACAAGAGAUCGAGACCAUCCUGGCAAACAUGGUGAAAUCCUGUCUCUACUAAAAAUAAAAAAAUUAGCUGGGGGUGGUUGGCGUGCGACUGUAGUCCCAGCUACUCGGCAGGCUGAGGCAGGAGAAUUACUUGAACCUGAGAGGGGGAGGUUGCAGUGAGCUGAGAUUGCACCACUGCACUCCAGCCUGGUGACAGAGGGAGACUCGGUCUCAAAAAAAAAAAAAAAAAAAAAAAAAGACAGCCACCGAACUGUAAACCAAUUAAAUUGGGAGUAGAACUGGAAGAGUGUGAUUUAUUACCUUGUUUAUAGCCUGAAUGUCUUAAAAAAUGGGUCCCAACUCAAACUUUACAAUUAUCCAUUUAGUGUCAUAAAAUUCUAUAAGUCAAAUAUUAAAAUUGAUCUAUAAGUCUAUUCCCUUUAAAAAAGCCUAUUCCCUGAAGCUCUUACAAAAAUGAAGUAAUAAAGGUAUAUGUUUAACAUGUAUUUAUUUAUUUAUUUGAGGGUUGUGCUUUGUCACCUAGGCUGGAGUGCAGUGGCAUGAUCAUGGCUCACUGCAACCUCUACCUCCUGGGCUCAAGCAAUCCUCCCACCUCAGCCUCCUGAGUAGUUGGGACUACAGGUGUGCGCCAGCACACCUGGCUAAUUUUUGUAUUUUUUGUAGAGAUGCAGUUUCGCCAUGUUGCCUAGGCUAGUCUCAAACACCUGGACUCACCCAAUAAGCCUGACUUGGCCUCUCCAAGUGUUGGGAUUACAGGCAUGAGCCACCACACCCAGCUGGAAAAUGUUUAAAAUUUAUUAAGUGAAAAGUAACUCAUGCUGCAAUGAACGUACUAUGUAAAAAUGUAUGUAUGUGGAACAGGGAAAAAUAUAAACAGUCACAGAAAUGUGUUUAGGUUGGUAGCAUUCUUUUUCCUCUUAAAAAUUCCUUUUUUUGGCCGGGCGCUGUGGCUCACACCUGUAAUCCCAGCACUUUGGGAAGCCGCGGUGGACAGAUCACAAGGUCAGGAGAUCAAGACCAUCCUGGCUAACAUGGUGAAACCCCGUCUCUACUAAAAAUACAAAAAAUUAGCUGGGCAUGGAGGCACUCGCCUGUAGUCGCAGCUACUCGGGAGGCUGAGGCAGGAGAAUCGCUUGAACUGGGGAGAUGGAGGUUGUAGUGAGCCCAGAUCAUGCCACUGCACUCAAGCCUGGGCUGAGACCUCCAGAGUCUGGCUGAGACCUAUGGAGUCUCACUCUGUCACCUAGGCUGGAGUACAGUGGUGCGAUCUCGGCACACUGCAACCUCCACCUCCCAGACAUUCUCCUGCCUCAGCCUCUCAACUAGCUGGGAUUACAUUCGCCCGCCUCCACACCCACUAAUUUUUGUAUUUUUAGUAGAGAUGCGGUUUCCCCAUGUUGGCCAGGCUGUUCUUGAACUCCUGACCUCAAGUUAUACGCCCACUUUGGACUCCCAAAGUGCUGGGAUUACAGGUGUGAGCCACGGCACCAGCCAAAAAUUUCUUUAAAUAUUAGUGGUAUAUUAUUCUCUCAAUAAGUUUUUUUUUUUUUUUUUUUUGAGACAGUCUUGUUUUAUUGCCUAAGCUGGAGUGCAGUGGCACAAUCUCAACUCACUGCAACCUCCACCUCCCAGGUUUAUUUUUUUUCUCAUGCCUCAGCCUCCCAAGAAGCUGGGAUUACAGGCAUGUGCCCCAAAGGCCAGUUAAGUUUUCUUUUUCUUUUUUUCUUUUUUCUUGGUUGAGACGGAUUUUCGCUCGUCACCCACACUGGAGUGCAAUGGCGCGAUCUCGGCUCACUGCAACCUCCGACUCUUGGGUUCAAGCGAUUCUCCUGCCUCAGCCUCCCGAGUAGCUGGGAUUAGAGGCACCUGUCACCACGCCCGCUACUUUUGGUAUUUUUAGUAGAGAUGGAGUUUCACCACGUUGGCCAGGCUGAUCUCAAACUCCUGGCCUCAAGUGAUUCACCUGCCUUGGCCUCCCAAAGUGCUGGAAUUACAGGCCCGGCCUAUUUUUGCAAUAAUUAUGAAUAGCACACCAUUUAAACCUGUUGAUUGAGCCCUCCUUAAAUAACUAAAUACACUACUGGCCAACAUGGUGAAAACCUGUCUCCACUAAAAACACAAAAAAAUGGCCGGGCACAGUGGCUCAUGCCUGUAAUCCCAGCACUUCAGGAGGCCAAGGGGUGUGAAUCACCUGAGGUUAGGAGUUCAAGACCAGCCUGGCCAACAUGGUGAAACCCUGUCUCUACUAAAAAAAAAUACAAAAAUUAGCUGAGUGUAGUGGCACAUACCCGUAGUCUCAGCUACUCAGGAGGCUGAGGCAGGAGAAUUGCUUGAACCUGGGAGGCAGGGGUUGCAGUGAGCCAAGAUCGUGCCACCACACUCCAGCCUGGGUGACACAGCGAGACUCCAUCUCAAAAUAAAUAAAUAAAUAAAAAGAAAGGGACCGAGCGCGGUGGCUCAUGCUUGUAAUCCCAGCACUCUGGGAGGCUGAGUUGGGCAGAUCACAAGGUCAAGAGUUCAGGACCAGCCUGACCAACACGGUAAAACCCCAUCUCUACUAAAAAUACAAAAAUGAGCUGGGUGUGAUGGCACGCGCCUGUAACCCCAGUUACUCAAAAGGCUGAGGCAAGAGAAUCGCUUGAACCUGGGAGGCAGAGGUUGCAGUGAGCCGAGAUCACGCCACUGCAUUCCAGCCUGGUGACAGUGAGACUCUGUCACACACACACAAAAAAGAUAAAGAAUGACAAAAAUCUGUGCCUACAUUCAGAGUGACAAGAAUACUAAUGUUCUGCUUGUAGAAAAGACUAUUGGUUCAGAAUAUGUUAAAUGCAAAUAAUAUUUUGUAUAAUAUAUAUAAAUUACAUAUGCAUAAAAAGAGUAUCUAUAUUAGAAUCUUUUGAGACAGGGUCUUGCUCUGUCAACCAUGAGGGAGUGCAGUGGCACUACCACAGCUCACUGUAGCCUUGACUUCCUGAGCUCAAGCCAUCCUCUCGCCUCAGCCUCCUGAAUAGUUGGGACUGCAGGUGGUGCCACCAAGGCUGGCUAAGUUUUUAUAUUUUUUUAUAGAAACAAGCUUUUGCCACGUUGCCCAGGCUGGUCUCAAACUUCUAAAAGCUCAAGCAAUCUGGCCGCCUUGAACUCCCAAAGUGCUUGAGUUAUAGGCAUGAGUCACUGUGCCCGGCCUACAUUAGAAUCUUAACAGUGGGGCUGGGCAUGGUGCCCCAUGCCUGUAAUCCCAGCACUUUGGGAGGUCAAGGUGGGCAGACUACUUGAGGUUGAGGAGUUCGAGGCCAGCCUGGCCAACAUGGUGAAACCCCAUCUGUACUAAAAACACAAAAAUUAGCCAGGUGUGGUGGCACAUGUUUGCAAUCCCAGCUACUUGGGAGGCUGAGGCGGGAGGAUCACUUGAACCUGGGAAGCAGAGGUUGCAGUGAGCCGAGAUGGUGCCAUGGCACUCCAGCCUGGGCAAUAGACAGCGGGACUCAGUCUCAAAACAAAAAAAAAAAAAAAAAAAAAAGAAUCUUAACAGUGGUUAACUUCAAAUAGUGAAACUAUGACUGUUAACUGAGUUUGACAUUUUUGUGUUUUCCUAGAUUUUUCUACAAUAAACAUUAUUAUUUCAUAAUAAAGCAGUAAAGACUUUUUAUACAAACUAUUUUAAGAUAAACAAAUUUUGACAUAGGGGUUAUAAGUUAGGUAGAAUCUAUUUAUAUAAAAAAUGGAACUGUACUUUUGUGGGCCAAAUAAGCACUAUGUAAGUUUUUUUAAUUUUCCCAAACACAUGCACAGAAUUAAUAUUGCCUUAAAUUUUGUUAGCACAAGUUUGAGAGAGCUCUUUAGUUCAUAAAAAAAUGUUUUAUGGACCAGGUGCCGUGGCUCACACCUGCAAUCUCAACACUUUGGGAGGCCCAGGUGGGAGGAUCGCUUGAGCCUAGGAGUUUGAGACAAGACUGGGCGACGCAGGGAGACCCUGUCUCAAAAAAACAAAACCAAAAACAAGCAAACAAAAAAACAGCUGGGCAUGGUGGCAUGCAUAUGUAGUCCCAGCUAUUCUAGAGGCUGAGGUGAGAUCGCUGGAGCCCAGGAGGUGGAGGCUACAGUAAGCUGUGAUCAUGCCAAUGCACUCCAGCUUGGUCAACAAAGCAAGACUGUGCCUCAAAAAAAAAAAAGAAAAGAAAAGAAAGAAAGAAAAGAAAAAGAAAAAAAGUUAUGUACGUAUGGUUUUUUUUUUUUUUUGGAUAGAGUUUCACUCUUCUUGCCCAGGCUGGAGUGCAAUGGUGCAAUCUUGGCUCACCACAACCUUCCCCUACUGGGUUCAAGCGAUUCUCCUGUUUCAGCCUCCCCAGUAGCUGGGAUUAAAGGCAUGUGCCACCACGCCCGGCUAAUUUUGUAUUUUUAGUAGAGAUGAAGUUUCUCCAUGUUGGUCAGGCUGGUCUUGAACUCCUGACUUCAGGUGAUCUGCCCGCCUCAGCCUCCCAAAGUGCUGGGAUUACAGGUGUGAGCCACCUCGCCUGGCCGUUUUUUUUUUUUUUUUUUUUUUCUGAGACGGAGUUUUGCUCUUAUUGCCCAGGCUGGAGUGCAAUGGCACGAUCUCGGCUCAUCGCAACCUCUGCCUCACGGGUUCAAGCAAUUUUCCUGCCUCAGCGUCUCAAGUAGCUAGGAUUACAGGGAUGCUCCAUCAUGCCCGGCUAAUUUUGUAUUUUUGGUAGAGACAGGGUUUCUCCAUGUUGGUCAGGCUGGUCUCAAACUCCCAACCUCAGGUGAUUUACCCGCCUUGGCCUCCCAAAGAGCUGGGAUUACAGGUGUGAGCCACUGUGCCCGGCCAUGCUUAUGUUUUUUAACAAUACACUUCUGAACUAUCAAAAAGAAUAUAAAUCAAAAUCACUGAAGUAGUUUUUAAAAACUCCAAAAGCUACAAAACUUACUUACUUCAAUAUCAAUUAAAAACCCAUUUGAUAGUUCAAUAACUUGAGUCCUGCUAGAAUCAUUCUAUAAGCCAUCAGUGACAGUGAAGUGGCCAAAAUUUGAGUCACUUGAUAAGUACAAAGAACACAGAUUUUUGUCAUUCUUACUGUGAAGAAAAACAGUGAAUGAAUAACUUAGUUUAUAUAUUAACAGUACUUUUAUUUAAAAAAUUAUCUAGAGAAUAACUUCUUUUUAAUCAUUUGUUAGUCAUGUAACUAUGGAUAAAACAUACUAAUUUAGCUGAUUCCUCUAUGCUCUCUUUUCCUUGAUUCCAAUCAUUAUUAGUUAUUCUACACUGCCUCAUUUAUUGGCAGUUAUGCCAACUGGCUGACUCUGGUUCAACUGCCCUAUUUUUGCUUUCAUCAUUGUUUAUCAUAUCUCACUUGCUUUAAACUCCACCUCUUUCAUCUCAUCUGAUCUGACACUUGGUUUACAUAUCAAUUGGCUACUCUAACCUUCUACCGCCAGUUUCCAACCCAUUCGAGGUACUUGGGUAACAAAGGAAGAUGCUCUAUACACACAAAACCACAGAAAAUAAGUGGGAAGGGAUAAUAAAUUUCACUUAAAGUUUUAGAAUUUUUCUUUUUUUUUUGAGACGGAGUUUCACUCUUGUUGCCCAGGCUGGAGUGCAAUGGCGCGAUCUUGGCUCACCGCAACCUCUGCCUCCCAGGUUCAAGCAGUUCUCCUGCUUCAGCCUCCCGAGUAGCUGGUAUUACAGGCAUGCACCACCAAGCCUGGCUAAUUUUGUAUUUUUAGUAGAGACGGGGUUUCUCCAUGUUGGUCAGGCUGGUCUUGAACGCCUGACCUCAGGUGAUCUGCCUGCCUCGGCCUCCCAAAGUGCUGGGAUUACAGGCAUGAGCCAUCACGCCCGGCCAAAGUUUUAGAAUUUAAGUUAUUCCAAAAAAAAUUUUUUUUUUCAAAAAUACAGACUGCAUCCAAUUAAAUUCUAUGUUAACUGGUAAUGACUAGGUCUAAAAUGUUAGGUAUUUACCAAUAAAUGACAUAAAAUAACUCAACAACAAAGGGAUUUUUUUUUUUAAGAGAUAGGGUCUCACUUUAUCACUCAGGUUUGGCUGAGGGCAGUGGUGUGAUCACAGCUCACUGAAGCCUCCAACUCCUGGGCUCAAGUGAUCCUCCCGCCUCAGUCUACCAGAGUAUAUUCUUGAAAGUAAAAUUACAAAUGAAAUUCAGCAGUGUUAAAAAUAAGCCCACUUGCAGACAAUUAUCAUUUUUCUUCCUUUCUUUCCUCACUAUCUGUACUUGGCAUAUUUCCUACAGUGGCUGUCUUAAAGAAAAAAAGGAAUCCUUCACAAAUAGUGUAGCCAAAAAAGUUGGACUAAUAUACAAUGCUAUCAGUAAAGUAUUAUAUAUAAAAUUUAUAAGUGCUAAAGUGUAAUUUUGAAAGACACUUAAGAUACUCCUUUUUUUUUUGAGACAAGGUCUCAGCCCUGUCGCCCAGGCUGGAGUGCACUAGCACAACAUCAGCUCACUGCAACCUCCGCCUCCCAGGUUCAAGCGAUUCUCCUGCCUCAGCCUCCCAAGUAGCUGAGACUACAGGCGCACGCCAGCAUGUCCAGAUAAUUUUUUGUAUUUUUAGUAGAGAUGGGGUUUCACCAUGUUGGCCAGGAUGGUCUCAAAUCUCUUGACCUCGUGAUCUGCCCAUGUCGGCUUCCCAAAGUGUUAGGAUAACAGGCAUGAGCUACCGUGCCCAGCCUACUUAAAAUAUUCUUGAAAUAGCUCUCCCCACCUCCUUUUUUUUUUUUUUUUGAGAAUGAGUUUCACUCGACACCCAGGCUGGAGUGCAGUGGUGCGAUCUUGGCUCACUGCAACCUCUGCCUCCCAGGUUCAAGCGAUUAUCCUGCCUCAGCCUCCUGAGUAGCUGGGAUUACAAAUGUGCACCACCACAUCUGGCUAAUUUUUUUUUUUUUUUUUUGUAUUUUUAGUAGAGACGGGGUUUCACCAAGUUGGCCUGGCUGGUCUCGAACACCUGACCUCAAUUGAUCCACCUGCCUCGGCCUCCCAAAGUAUUAU
rnacentral:lncRNA from 10 species